rnacentral:rRNA from 1 species
UACGGAGGAUGCAAGCGUUAUCCGGAAUGAUUGGGCGUAAAGCGUCCGUAGGUGGCUGUGUAAGUCUGCUGUUAAAGAGUGAGGCUCAACCUCAUAAAAGCAGUGGAAACUACACAGCUAGAGUGCGUUCGGGGCAGAGGGAAUUCCUGGUGUAGCGGUGAAAUGCGUAGAGAUCAGGAAGAACACCGGUGGCGAAGGCGCUCUGCUAGGCCGCAACUGACACUGAGGGACGAAAGCUAGGGGAGCGAAUGGG